UUGUGUCACUAGGCCUCUCGGCUGUGUAAAUUUGGGACGAUUUGGGACGACGUCCCAACUCGUCCCAAAUCGUCCCAAAUUUACACAGGCCAGAGGCCUGGUGACACAAC
rnacentral:pre_miRNA from 1 species